GUGUCAGCAGCCGCGGUAAUACGUAGGGUGCAAGCGUUAAUCGGAAUUACUGGGCGUAAAGCGUACGCAGGCGGCUUUGCAAGACAGGUGUGAAAUCCCCGGGCCUAACCUGGGAACUGCAUUUGUGACUGCAUGGCUAGAGUCUGUCAGAGGGGGGUGGAAUUCCACGUGUAGCAGUGAAAUGCGUAGAGAUGUGGAAGAACACCGAUGGCGAAGGCAGCCCCCUGGGAUGAGACUGACGCUCAUGUACGAAAGCGUGGGGAGCAAACAGGAUUAGAUACCCCCGUAGUCC
rnacentral:rRNA from 1 species